ACGUUGGAAAAGUCACACGUGAUGUAGGCGAAAGUGCUGCGGUAGGGCGAAAAACUCCAUCUCAUUUCCUCCUCCAACUUCAAAAUCGUCUGACAUCUGUUACAGGUGAGGCUCCCUCUCCGCUUCCUCCGGGUCAUCAGAGGGAGCUCUCACCAGAAUAUUGACUGUUGCUUGGACUCCAUUUCCCAUAGGCCCUCAUACCUGGGACUGAUUACACACACAACUGCAGUUCAUCACACACACUCACUAUUCAAGCAGCACACAUACACACCACCAUCGCAAAGUCUUGAUUUGCUACGGUGGUCAUUUCUGAGCGUUUCUUUGUGGAUUGUUAUACUGUGUUUGAUCUUGGACUGUUUUCCUGUUGCCUGAUUCUUUGCUGCCCACCCCGACUUUUGCCUGUUCAUUGGAUUGUGAUUGUACUCUGCCUGCCUUUUACUUUUUUUGUGUAGGGCGUUUGACUUAGUCUUUGCACGUUCGCUUUGUAGACACUGUAUCGGACCUUUCCAACGUGAUUACUUAAUGCAUGCUGCAUCGCAGAGCAAGACGAGCAUUUGUGGUUAAAAAGUAUAUAAAUGUUUUGUUUUUUAAUUUUUUUAGAAAAUGACCAAUCAUUUCUCUAGAUAAGACUCUUAUUCCUCGUCUGGGAUCAUGUAGAGCUCUUUGAAGCUGCACUGAAACUGCAGUUUGGACCUUCAACCCGUUGAACCCCAGUGAAGUCCACUAUAUGGAGAAAAAUCCUGGAUGUUUUCCUCAAAAACCUUCAUUUAUUUUUGACUGAAGAAAGAAAGACAUAAACAUCUUGGAUGACAUGGGGCAGUGGCCUGUGUAAGCUGCGAGGACGCGAGCGAUGCUCAGAGGAUCCACUGCUGCCAAGCCAUCUGCUCGUACGGACAGUGCAGAGACGGAGAUUGAAAUCAGCCAUCAGCGUAUAGCUAUAGAAAGAGAGACAGAGAGAUAAACAAAAUAAGAUGGACUGCUGCAAUGGCCUCACGUGUGGUCAUUUAACCCUCUGAUGCUGGUGUACACUACAGUGAAUAGUAGAUAAGUGGAUUUUCAAAAGCAUUUUAACCAUAAAGAGUUUGAUGUUAAACAUUCAAAUCAUUUUACCAUAAUUUUGUCCUCAUAUAUAAUUGUGUGGUUACACUUUAUUUUGAUUCUGUUGACUAUAAGUAACGUUGCAACUACAUGUCAACUAACUCUCAUUAGAGUAUGAGUUAGGUAUUAGUAGACUGGUAGGGUUUGGGUUAGUAGUAUAAGUUGACAUGUACUUGCAAAGUUACUUACAGUCAGUAGAAUGUCUAUUGAAGGUCCAUCACAUAAGGUGUUAGCAGAUAUUAAGCAGACAGCACUGUGUUUUUAUUUCUGCACAAAUUCAACAGUUCACUUUCAUUGUCAUUUCCAUAUUGUUUCAUGAAGCACUAUUUCUAGAUCAUGUUAGUCAUUUGGAUGUCAUGUGUAACAACUUAAAUUGUAACAUGAGCAUGUUGUGAUAUAAUGAGAUUGUUUAUUAAUAUAUAAAGCAGAUGGUGGUUUAAUCAAAUGCAUGAUGCUGAUAUUUGCGUGACUUAAAUAUCUACUUAAUAAUUGUAAUGUGUAUUGUUUAUUUCAGAAAUCUUACAUAUGUUCACAGUUAAUAUUUUAAUGAAUAAUCCUCACAAGUUACAUAAAGCUAUAUAUACUGUAUAAACACACAAACACACUUAUGGAAUAAUUAUAUUAAAGUCCCCCUGUGGUGAAAAUCAA